rnacentral:rRNA from 1 species
UACGUAGGGGGCAAGCGUUGUCCGGAAUCAUUGGGCGUAAAGAGCGUGUAGGCGGCUCGGUAAGUCCGCUGUGAAAGUCCAGGGCUCAACCCUGGAAUGCCGGUGGAAACUGUCGAGCUCGAGUCCGGAAGAGGCGAGUGGAAUUCCUGGUGUAGCGGUGAAAUGCGCAGAUAUCAGGAGGAACACCAAUGGCGAAGGCAGCUCGCUGGGACGGUACUGACGCUGGAGACGCGAAAGCGUGGGGAGCAAACAGG